ACAGGGCCUGUGAAGUAGGCAAGAAUAUGUAUGCGCGCGCGUGCGUGCGCGUGUGGGUGAGAACGCAAAAUCGAGAGAAACGACACUUUUCUGUCCUUGUUUCUGAAUCCCUACACACAUCCAGAAUCUGCUGGGAAAAGGAGAACACUGUCUGUUCCAGCCUGAGUCUACUGAAAAUGGAGCUGCCUUUGUCUCGCUGCAGUGUGUGUCAGCCAUUAACAUCAGCACCGAGCACAAAUCCCCCCAACAAACACACCAGCCCUCGCCUUCAAUCACCCCAACAAACACGACACAAUCCUGCGUCUUUACAUUUUAUACACACAAUACCGAGAGCACGGAUUCUUUACUGACAUGGCAACGAAGGAAGCCGUUUGGUCCCUUAUAACAAUGGCUCGUGUGAAAGUAUUUUUUUCUGAGAUUUUAGGUUGCAGUAAGACAAAUGGAGUGCUGGGAAUCAAACGUGACGGCGUGUAAAGGUGUGAUCACGAAGCCCCGAGAAGAGCGAGCGAGCGCCCGCGGAAACGCUGUCCGGGUGGAAGCGCGCGCACUCCGGAUACUGAGCGAACAAGGUUCCGCUCUGGAGUGCGGCCUCACCCCGAGAAGGAGCGUGGCUUCCAGAUGAAAACACACAACGCGAACGGCUGAAUCGCGAAUAAAAACAAAUCCGAUUGUUCAGAAAAGGCAAAAAAUAUAUAU